rnacentral:rRNA from 1 species
UACGAAGGGUGCAAACGUUGCUCGGAAUUAUUGGGCGUAAAGCGCACGUAGGCGGCUUGGCAAGUCGGAUGUGAAAGCCCUCGCUUAACCGAGGAAUUGCGCCCUAAACUACUGUGCUUGAGGAACCUAGAGGUGAGCAGAACAGAUGGUGGAGCGGUGAAAUGCGUUGAUAUCAUCUGGAAUACCGGAGGCGAAGGCGGCUCACUGGGGGUUUUCUGGACGCUGAGGAACGAAAGCCAGGGUAGACGAACGGG